CCUACGGGAGGCAGCAGUGAGGAAUAUUGGUCAAUGGGCGCGAGCCUGAACCAGCCAAGUCGCGUGAGGGAUGAAGGUUCUAUGGAUCGUAAACCCCUUUUAUAGGGGAGUAAAGUGUGGGACGUGUCCUAUUUUGUAUGUACCUUAUGAAUAUGGAUCGGCUCACUCCGUGCCAGCAGCCGCGGUAAGACGGAGGAUACGAGCGUUAUACGGAUUUAUUGGGUUUAACGGGUGCGUAGGCGGCCUUUUAAGUCAUCGGUGAAAGUCUGUGGCUUAACCUUAGAAUUGCUGUUGAAACUAGGGGGCUUGAGUAUGUUUGAGGCAUGCGGAAUGCGUGGUGUAGCGGUGAAAUGCGUAGAUAUCACGAAGAACCCCGAUAGCGAAGGCAGCCUGCCAAGCCAUGACUGACGCUGAUGCACGAAAGCGUGGGGAGCAAACAGGAUUAGAUACCCGUGUAGUC
rnacentral:rRNA from 1 species